GACAGCAUGGUGUAGUGGUUUGAAUGUUGGACUGUGACUCUGGAAACCAGGGUUUGAUUCCCUGCUCAGACA